AGAAAGCCCCGGCUAACUCCGUGCCAGCAGCCGCGGUAAUACGGGGGGGGCAAGCGUUGUCCGGAAUCGUUGGGCGUAAAGGGCGCGUAGGCGGAAUGGUAAGUUAGAGGUGAAAACUACGGGCUUAACCUGUAGCCUGCCUUUAAAACUGUCAUUCUUGAGUAUGGAAGAGGGAAGUGGAAUUCCUGGUGUAGCGGUGAAAUGCGUAGAUAUCAGGAAGAACACCGGUAGCGAAGGCGACUUCCUGGUCCAUAACUGACGCUGAUGCGCGAAAGCGUGGGGAGCAAACAGGAUUAGAUACCCUGGUAGUCCACGCUGUAAACGAUGGGCACUAGGUGUUGGUUCCGUUCCAACGGGAUCAGUGCCGCAGCUAACGCA
rnacentral:rRNA from 1 species